rnacentral:rRNA from 1 species
GAUGAACGCUAGCGGCAGGCUUAAUACAUGCAAGUCGAGGGGUCAGCAAUGACACCGGCGGACGGGUGCGUAACGCGUAUGCAACCUACCUACAUCAGGGGGAUAGCCCUAGGAAACUGGGAGUAACACCGCAUAAUAGUAUUGAUGGCAUCAUUGAUAUGUGAAAUGUUUAUAGGAUGUAGAUAGGCAUGCGUAAGAUUAGCUAGUUGGUAAGGUAAUGGCUUACCAAGGCUACGAUCUUUAGGGGCUCUCAGAGGAGUAUACCCCACACUGGCGGGGAGAUACGGGCCAAAUUCCGACGGGAGGCAGCAGUAGGGAAUAUUGGGCCAUGGAGGCCACUCUGACCCAGCCAUGCCGCGUGCAGGAAGACCGCGCUCUGGGUUGUAAACUGCUUUUGAAUGGGAAGAAUGUGAUGUUUGCGAGCAUUAAUGACGGUACCAAUAGAAUAAGCCACGGCUAACUACGUGCCAGCCGCCGCGGUAACCC